rnacentral:rRNA from 1 species
GACGAACGCUGGCGGCGUACUUAACACAUGCAAGUCGAACGGAAAGGCCCUGCUUUUGUAGGGUGCUCGAGUGGCGAACGGGUGAGUAACACGUGAGUAACCUGCCCUUGACUUUGGGAUAACUUCAGGAAACUGGGGCUAAUACCGGAUAGGAGCUCCUGCUGCAUGGUGGGGGUUGGAAAGUUUCGGCGGUUGGGGUUGGACUCGCGGCUUAUCAGCUUGUUGGUGGGGUAGUGGCUUACCAAGGCCUUGACGGGUAGCCGGCCUGAGAGGGUGACCGGCCACAUUGGGCCUGAGAUACGGCCCAGACUCCUACGGGAGGCAGCAGUGGGGAAUAUUGCACAAUGGGCGGAAGCCUGAUGCAGCAACGCCGCGUGCGGGAUGACGGCCUUCGGGUUGUAAACCGCUUUCGCCUGUGACGAAGCGUGAGUGACGGUAAUGGGUAAAGAAGCACCGGCUAACUACGUG